GACGAACGCUGGCGGCGUGCCUAAUACAUGCAAGUCGAGCGGACCGGAUUGGGGCUUGCCUUGAUUCGGUCAGCGGCGGACGGGUGAGUAACACGUGGGCAACCUGCCCGCAAGACCGGGAUAACUCCGGGAAACCGGAGCUAAUACCGGAUAACACCGAAGACCGCAUGGUCUUCGGUUGAAAGGCGGCCUUUGGGCUGUCACUUGCGGAUGGGCCCGCGGCGCAUUAGCUAGUUGGUGAGGUAACGGCUCACCAAGGCGACGAUGCGUAGCCGGCCUGGGAGGGUGACCGGCCACACUGGGACGGAGACACGGCCCAGACUCCUACGGGAGGCAGCAGUAGGGAAUCUUCCGCCAUGGGCGAAAGCCUGACGGAGCGACGCCGCGUGAGCGAAGAAGGCCUUCGGGUCGUAAAGCUCUGUUGUGAGGGACGAAGGAGCGUCGUUCGAAGAGGGCGGCGCGGUGACGGUACCUCACGAGAAAGCCCCGGCUAACUACGUG
rnacentral:rRNA from 1 species